GCCGCGUUGGCUCAAUGGUAGAGCGUCGCCCUCCUACAAGGCGAAGGCUGUGGGUUCGAUCCCCAUGCGUGGUA
rnacentral:tRNA from 1 species